UUCUGGUUGAUCCUGCCGAAGGCUACUGCUAUUGGAGUUCGAUUAAGCCAUGCGAGUCUAAGGGACUUCGGUCCCUGGCAUAAUGCUCAGUAACAAGUGGAUAAUCUGCCCUUAGGUGAGGAAUAAACCCGGGAAACUGGGGCUAAUACCUCAUAGACACAAGAAGCUGGAAUGCUCCUGUGUUCAAAGCUCCGGCGCCUAAGGAUGAGUCUGCUUCCUAUCAGGUUGUAGUCAGGGUCAUGACCUGACUAGCCAGCGACGGGUACGGGGUGUGAGAGCACUUGCCCGGAGAUGGUUUCUGAGACACGAAACCAGGCCCUACGGGGCGCAGCAGGCGCGAAAACUUCGCAAUGCGGGAAACCGUGACGAGGGAACUCCAAGUGUCUAUGCAAUGCAUAGACUGUUUUUCAGCCUAAAUAGCUGUUAGAGUAAGAGGUGGGCAAGACCGGUGCCAGCCGCCGCGGUAACACCGGCACCUCAAGUGGUAGCCACUAUUAUUGGGCCUAAAGCGUUCGUAGCCGGUUUGGUAAAUUCUUGGGUAAAUCGUACAGCUUAACUGUGCGGAUUCCGGGGACACUACCAGACUUGAGACCGGGAGAGAUCAGAGGUACUUGUAGGGGAGCGGUGAAAUGUUGUAAUCCUACAGGGACCACCAGUGGCGAAGGCGUCUGAUCAUAACGGCUUUGACGGUGAGGAACGAAACCCUGGGGCGCAAACGGGAUUAGAUACCCCGGUAGUCCAGGGCGUAAACGCUGCUGACUUGGUGUUGGAGAUCCUACGAGGGUGUCCAGUGCUGGCGCGAAGGUAUUUAGUCAGCCGCCUGGGGAGUACGGUCGCAAGACUGAAACUUAAAGGAAUUGGCGGGGGAGCACUGCAACGUGUGGAGCGUGCGGUUUAAUUGGACUCAACGCCGGGA
rnacentral:rRNA from 1 species